GACGAACGCUGGCGGCGUGCUUAACACAUGCAAAUCGAACGGAAAGGCCCUGCUUUUGUGGGGUGCUCGAGUGGCGAACGGGUGAGUAACACGUGAGUAACCUGCCCUUGACUUUGGGAUAACUUCAGGAAACUGGGGCUAAUACCGGAUAGGAGCUCCUGCUUCAUGGUGGGGGUUGGAAAGUUUCGGCGGUUGGGGAUGGACUCGCGGCUUAUCAGCUUGUUGGUGGGGUAGUGGCUUACCAAGGCUUUGACGGGUAGCCGGCCUGAGAGGGUGACCGGCCAAAUUGGGACUGAGAUACGGCCCAGACUCCUACGGGAGGCAGCAGUGGGGAAUAUUGCACAAUGGGCGGAAGCCUGAUGCAGCAACGCCGCGUGCGGGAUGACGGCCUUCGGGUUGUAAACCGCUUUCGCCUGUGACGAAGCGUGAGUGACGGUAAUGGGUAAAGAAGCACCGGCUAACUACGUG
rnacentral:rRNA from 1 species